UGGUGGAGUGAUCUGUCUGGUUAACUCCGUUAACGAACGAGAUCUCAACCUACUAAAUAGAAACUCUCAGAGUUUUCUUCUUAGAGGGACACUUGGUCGUUUAGAUCAAGGAAGUUUGAGGUAAUAACA
rnacentral:rRNA from 1 species